UAGGGAAUCUUCCACAAUGGACGCAAGUCUGAUGGAGCAACGCCGCGUGAGUGAAGAAGGUUUUCGGAUCGUAAAGCUCUGUUGUUGGUGAAGAAGGAUAGAGGCAGUAACUGGUCUUUAUUUGACGGUAAUCAACCAGAAAGUCACGGCUAACUACGUGCCAGCAGCCGCGGUAAUACGUAGGUGGCAAGCGUUGUCCGGAUUUAUUGGGCGUAAAGCGAGCGCAGGCGGAAUGAUAAGUCUGAUGUGAAAGCCCACGGCUCAACCGUGGAACUGCAUCGGAAACUGUCAUUCUUGAGUGCAGAAGAGGAGAGUGGAAUUCCAUGUGUAGCGGUGGAAUGCGUAGAUAUAUGGAAGAACACCAGUGGCGAAGGCGGCUCUCUGGUCUGCAACUGACGCUGAGGCUCGAAAGCAUGGGUAGAGAACAGG
rnacentral:rRNA from 1 species